rnacentral:rRNA from 1 species
UACAGAGGUCUCAAGCGUUGUUCGGAUUCAUUGGGCGUAAAGGGUGUGUAGGUGGCGCCGUAAGUGGGGUGUGAAAUUUCGAGGCUUAACCUCGAAACUGCAUUCCAUACUGCGGUGCUUGAGGACUGGAGAGGAGACUGGAAUUUACGGUGUAGCGGUGAAAUGCGUAGAUAUCGUAAGGAAGACCAGUGGCGAAGGCGGGUCUCUGGACAGUUCCUGACGCUGAGGCACGAAGGCUAGGGGAGCAAACGGG